rnacentral:lncRNA from 1 species
GUAAUUUUGGGAGAAUUUUGCAUCUUUGGAAAUGUGACAUGUACAAAAAUUCUUCUUCUUGUUCCUCCAAUAUUCUCCCAUCACAUAGGCAUCUAAAGGAGCCAGAAUAAUCCUGAGAAUCCUACAGCAACAAAGGGGGAAUCAGUUGUCUGUAAGGAUGGGAAAGUCAUUGAACAAAAGAGACUAUAUGCAGGCUACACUGUAGCAAAACUCAGCUGAAAAGUACCAGAUCUGGAGAUGUGGAAAACCCUUGGACUCUAGCAAAUGGAUGCACCAAACUGAUCUGGGACAGGCAGCCUGGGCACAGUAAAAGCUGAAAUGCUCCUACAGUGCUGAACCAAGGAAUUUCUAAGGACAGACACAGAUCCUGGUUCUUUCUCUUCCCUUCACACAUUCAUUGACUGCUGUAGAAAUACAACUGUGCCUUUGAAACCCAGAGCUAUUGCAAUUUUGAGACGAAAUUUAAACAGAUCUGGGUUUUACUGACUGUGAUGAAUCUCUUGAUAUUUUCAGAAAAACACA